rnacentral:tRNA from 1 species
GCGGGUAUGGUGGAAUUGGCAGACACGCUGGAUUUAGGUUCCAGUGAUGAAAAUCGUGGGGGUUCAAGUCCCUCUACCCGCACCA